rnacentral:lncRNA from 12 species
GGGAGGCAGGGCGCCCCGCGGGCCUGCAGGGCCUCGAGCCACCCACUUCCUGUGACGGGCCAGGCCAUCUGGGAUCCGGAAAUUAAGCCGGCCCUUCAAAUCCCCUCUGGGUCUCCGUGUUCCUGGGGUUUGACAGAACGUCCAGGCCUCCCUCAGCAGAGCCCCGCGUUCCUGCCCCGGGAAGGGGAAGGUGCUCGCAGGCCGCUGGCCGCAGGCCCCCGAAUCUCGAAGCUCGGAGGCUUUGGGCAGGGUCCCACCACGAAGCGGGCUCGGGGGCUGUGGCUCACCUUCCCUGAGAACCGGCCCGAGCCCCCCAGCCCCUGGGGCCGGCAUGUCCCGGGUCAGGGCAGGAGGACACAGGCUGUCAGGGUCCUGGUGGCCACGAGGGCUCCAGGGAAGGAAGCGGGGGGACCAGAGGGCUCUGCCCUGACUUGCCCCGGGGUCCUCCCGGGAGCCUCUGCCCACAGCCGGGGUGCUUGGGGAGGGCCAGCUGGUCCCCCUGCCCCCGGGGAAGCACUCGGGGCCCUGCCUGACUCGGCCCGGCCAGCUCCACACUCCGUGGUCCUGUCCCCCCGCAGAGCUCGGCCGCUCCUCCGUGUGGCCCAGCCCCCCACCCGCCUGUCCUCGGCGGCGACCCCCGGGUUCCCGCGGACAGCUGCGGGCUCCCCCCUGCACCUGCCCGCUCUGCCCUCCCGGCCAGCCCGGGGCUCCCCGAGGGCACCUGCCUGCCAGCAGCCGCAGCACUUGCCGAGGACCGCUGGCGCCACGAGGUCAGAGCCCCUGGAGGUCAGCUUCUCGGUUGCAAAUUUGUCCGUCAUGUUCCAGGAGGGCAGGGGACCUCGCAGCUUGGUCCGGGGAAGGGGGCUCUCAGGCCCCCGCGCUCCUCGGUGGGAUGGAGCAGUGUCGUCCAGGACGGAGGAGGAACAGGUCAUGGGUGGGGGAGGACGGUGGUCCGAGGGCUCAGCCAGACCCACGUGCCCCAGACUCAGUGAACAGAACCACCUGCCCGGAAGCAGUUCUGGGACCGCGAUGAGGCUGUUCCAAGCACAGGGGGCCCCUGGGGCUGGCACCAGGCUGUGGAUGCCAGGACACCUCCCAGGGCAGGGGAAACUGAGGCAGAACCUUGGGAUCAUGUCUCACCAGCGUGCCUCUGCUCUUUCUCACCCCCUCGCUCACAGCCUGGGGUGUCAGACAAUGGGUGUCCAGAGUGCUGGAAGGUUCUCCAGGGAGCAUGCAACCUGA